rnacentral:sRNA from 1 species
UCUUAAUGGGUAGGUGAAUGGGCUUUUUGUUGGGCUGAAUAUGAGAAUCCAAUCCAAUCUCCUCCACCAUCGUGUCUGUCACCAUACCUCCUAAACCAGAGCAUUGAAGAUUCGACGUCUUUUGAUGUCAAACAAAACCUCCUACGACGAGGAAGAGUGAGAGAAGAUAUCAAGAGACGAAGGGAGAAUAAGAAUUAGAAGCAUAUCUUCUUCCACCACGCCACGAAGUUUGAAGAUGAAAUAGAAGCACGAAUCGAGAAAGAAAAUUUUAAAAUCAUCGUUUGACGUUUUUGGUUGGAUACUUAAGAAUUUUAAGAAGUCAUAUUUACUAAAAGUCAAACGCCGAAUGUAGG